GAUUAACGCUGGCGGCGUGCAUAACACAUGCAAGUCGAACGAUGAAACUUAACUGAUUUCUUCGGAAUGAUUUUAAGUGGCUUAGUGGCGGACGGGUGAGUAACGCGUGAGUAACCUGCCUUGGAGAAGGGGAUAGCCUUUGGAAACGAAGAAUAAUACCCUAUGAUAUGAUAAUAUCUCAUGAUAUUGUCAUCAAAGAUUUAUCGCUCUAAGAUGGACUUGCGUCUGAUUAGUUAGUUGGUGAGGUAACAGCUCACCAAGGCAGCGAUCAGUAGCCGGCUUGAGAGAGUGUACGGCCAUAUUGGGACUGAGACACGGCCCAGACCCCUACGGGAGGCAGCAGUGGGGAAUUUUGCACAAUGGGGGAAACCCUGAUGCAGCGACGCCGCGUGAUUUAGAAGGCCUUCGGGUUGUAAAAAUCUUUUGUAUGGGAAGAAAAUGACAGUACCAUACGAAUAAGGACCGGCUAAUUACGUG
rnacentral:rRNA from 1 species